rnacentral:rRNA from 1 species
GACGAACGCUGGCGGCGUGCUUAACACAUGCAAGUCGAACGGAAAGGCCCUGCUUUUGUGGGGUGCUCGAGGGGCGAACGGGUGAGUCACACGUGAGUAACCUGCCCUUGACUUUGGGAUAACUUCAGGAAACUGGGGCUAAUACCGGAUAGGAGCUCCUGCUGCAUGGGGGGGGGUGGAAAGUUUCGGCUGUGGGGGAUGGACUCGCGGCGUAUCAGCUUGUUGGUGGGGUAGUGGCUUACCAAGGCUUUGACGGGUAGCCGGCCUGAGAGGGUGACCGGCCACAUUGGGACUGAGAUACGGCCCAGACUCCUACGGGAGGCAGCAGUGGGGAAUAUUGCACAAUGGGCGGAAGCCUGAUGCAGCAACGCCGCGUGCGGGAUGACGGCCUUCGGGUUGUAAACCGCUUUCGCCUGUGGCGAAGCGUGAGUGACGGUACUGGGUAAAGAAGCACCGGCUAACUACGUG